rnacentral:ncRNA from 1 species
CUAAGUUCGCCCGGUCGCGGCAAACGCCGCGACCGGGUUUGACGACCUGAAGC